rnacentral:lncRNA from 1 species
UGUGGAAGAAGUGGCAUUAAAGAAAUGAUCUCCAAGAAGUGAGAGUGUUACCCAUUCAGAGACCUAAUGUUUGUUCACAAUCUUGGGAAUUUCUUGGGUGAAAUUCAAAACUGGCUUUGAAGGUCAGGAGAAAUUGAAGACAGAGGCAGACCAGUCUGGGUGGUUUGCUACCUGGCAGAUAAUAAGCAAAAAGAUACCUCACCUAUGAGUCUAGUCUCAGAAGCUGCAAGGUGAGUAGAUCUCCCCACCAGCCCACCUGAAUUGUGAAACCUUACAUAGAGGCCUUAAUGGGGUUCGAUCACUUACUAGUCUCAAUGCCAUGUUGCUCUCUCAAGGCUGCAUUUUUCAGUGGCUCCUAGAAAGGAACCAUGGAUAGAAUGUGCUUUCCAGGAUGUGCUUGAUUGCCUGGGUCCAGUUGAGUGUCAACCAGCGGUCACUUCCUCUUGCUCACCCCCUACAACACACAGGGAGAAUUUAUGCCUGGCAUUGGAACAGAGCUUUUAAUGACUCUGGGAACAGAGGAGGAUUGCGGGCUGUCGAAUUGAAGGAGAGAAGUGGUGACGUUAGAAACAUCUUGGGGAUCUAGAACACAUGGGUACUAAAGGGCAUUCUAUAAACAUUUUGUUUUUGUUUUGUUUUGUAGUCUGAGAGAGAUAGGAGGUUACUAGACUCUUCUGAGCAGACUCAUAUUUCACGACAAAACCGUGGGAAACCCACUGAUACAGUCUCAUUCCCUCACUUAACACAUGUGUGCAUCAUGGCCUAGGAAGGCUAAUAUGUUUCCCUAUAAAUUGCAGAGCAGAGAUUGGUACCCAUGUUUCCCGACUCCUGUUUGUACACCGUUUCCCACCAUGUGAUUCCAGUUCAUUACGUCACUCAGAGGAAUUUGUGGACAGCAGCUGCUCAACAGUGGUGAUCUUUAAUUAAUUACCACUACUCCAAGCAGUUAGUAUAAUUUAACUUGCCUCUGAAAUUCAUAGGAAGCAUGCUUUUAAAGGUAUCUAUACAUCUAAAUUAUUUAUAUCUAUAUCCAUUUCUAUCUAUUAUCUAUAUAUGUAUAUACAUAUGUGCAUAUAUGUAUAUUAUCACAUAAAUAAUAUGGGUGUACAUUGCAUAUGCAUAUGAUUCAUAUAUAUAAUACACAAAUUAUAAAUGUGUAUGUUUGGAGAUAUAUUUAAUAUAUUAAUUAACAUUAUAUCAGUAUACGUGUGUAUAUGUGUAUUAUACUUACAGAAUUACCUGUAUGUGACUAUAUGAAUUAUAGCUCAAAACACCUAGGCUCCAGGUCUCAGCUGAGACCAAUUGAGUCUUUAGGGUCUGAGAAUGAGAUCUGAGUGGGUGUUGUUUCAAUGUUGUUGAGUUCAAAAAGGUGAGCCAGGUAAUUCUAAUUUGUCCCCAAGGUUAUAAAUACUCAAAAGGAGAUAGCGUGGAGGCUGCAAGGAAGAACAGAGGAAAGAAAGGCCAUGGACUGAGGUUUUGGGGCAGCAAAAUAGAGGUAACUUAUGACAUUUUUUAGUCUCUAAUGUUUAAUUAUGCUAACUUUUUUUUUUCUAAGUUUUCUUUCUUUUGGCUGCUGUAAUUGCCAUGAUAAAUUCUAUAUUAAAGUAUGGGAACUUUGUAUUUUUCUACAAAUAACUCAGUUGAAGGUAUUAUCAUUCAGCUACCUAUUUAGUUUUCUUUGUUCUCCUUUCAAAAUGCAGUCACAAGUGUUGCUUUUAUAAAUCCUCUUGUCCAAUGAUAUGUGAGUCUGAUUUUGUUUUUAAGAGGGCAUUUGAAAGCAUUUCAAGUAAAUUGUCAGUUUUGAAGAGCACUGCAAUCAACUACUGCAAAAACAGAAAACUAAAAGGAUAGACAUGUUUCAGUACAUUGCUUACAAGCCAACAAUUUGGCAAGGGCUGUUACAAAGAACCCUUGUCGGUACUGAAUGGACAUACGACACAGCAAAAUAGGCAUGGGAUUUGUCAAAGGUAUUUCCUAAGGCAUUGAAUUCCUGGAAUGAACAGUCUGGGUACUAGAAAUUUGCCUGAAAAUAUUACUUUGUAACAGUUUGGUUGAGACAGUUUUUAAGCACUGCAGGAUUUUUUUUAUGUUUUUGUGUUUUCUUCUAGAACAUGAUAAUGGCAAAAAAAAGUACUAGUUAAGAACCAGUGACCUACUUACUGUUCUCUGUUGGGAAGUAUCAUCUUGUCCCUUAUUUUUCUAGUCACAGAUGGUUUACAAUACAGUCUCUCCUUUUAGGUAAUUUGAAGAAAUAUUCACAAGCCCUGCCCCAUUUUUAUGCUUCCCUAAAGGCCUCUCCUCCUAUUCCUCCUCCUUCUCCUUUGGGUUUUACUAGUUUUGGUGCAUCCACAAAUUGGUGCCAGCAGAGAGUCAAAGCCAAUGGAAUCAAGAGGUGGAUCAAGGUGGGUGAGAGUGUCUCAACCUCAGUUUGAUCCACGUGCUGACCCAAACCUCAGUCUUGUUUUUGUGAGAGUCAUUCACAAGUUCUAACCCUCUGGUCCUCAGGCCCUCCACUCAACACCUCUUUAUCCAACCCAAAGCAAACACCACAUUUCUUGUCACUCACUCCAGUGGGUGAUGACACCAUAACCUCUGCUAAAAACAUCAGUUGAGUUAGCUGGGAAGCUUCUUAAGAAGUUGGGGAAGAGGAUAAGGCCAUGGGAAUCACAAUCGGGGGGGCUUUAAGGAGAAAGAACACAUAGCAAAUGUCUGUUAUUGCCACAAGUUCAUUUCUCAUAAUUAGCUCAAUUAUGAACACACACACACACACACACACUACAGGUAAUACCUAGAUACACACUCGGGAAAGUUUUUAUGUUUGUCAAAAGUUCAGAAAUAACAGAAGUAAAACCAAUAGACUUGCUAAGGUAGUAAUUAGUAAUGGUUUAUUGUGAACAUACCAAAAAAUACGGAUUGCAAACUGGGAGUAUUCAAAUCAAAAUGUGGAAUAAAGCUCUGGGGUAUAAUGUUUUAAAGCAGCUUGUAUUGUGAGGAGGUUGUGACUGUUUAUUCUUCGUAGCGAUUUUUUUUAUUUAUGAUAUUAGAAUUUUCUUAAAUGAUAGGGAAUUGGUUAGUGUUUACUUGAUAUUAAUUUUGGUGAAGAGUUUUUCACUUUUGAUUUCUAGAGGCAUAAACAAGAAAUGACUCAGGUCAAGUCAGUGUUGUGAAAUAAAUUAAGCUUUGCUUAUGACUAAACUGAUACUGGUCUGCUUAGGGAAUUUUUAAGGCUGGUCUCCAUUUGUUUUUUAUUUUAACAACUUCUAGUUCUUUCCAUUAAAGAAGUGGAUAUAAAAUUUUAGUAACACAAAAUGGAGAUUCAGCUGUUUUAUUGGUAAUCAGCUUUUUCCCACUGUAUUGGUUCCCUGUCUUUCCUCCAGAGACCCUCAUUUGCAUUGUAAAGUGGUAUACAGCUGAGUCUGUAUACCAGCAGCCAGACAAACUCGGGAAACUAGUCUUAUUUUAGAUGGCUAAAAUUCCACACUUAGAACAGUCAUCAUCACCUGUGUUUCCAUGGUUUCAGUUAAUGAUGUUCCUAGUUUGAUGCUUCAUAGGUCCCAGCAAUAGUGGAAUGAUAGCAGAAAGAGUGAAAAUAGCAGGCUCUCAUGCCCUCUUCAAGUUACCGUAUGGCAGAUGCUUGAAUGUAGAUUUAUUCCUUUUAAAAAAUGUUUAAUCUGUUAGUGCUCUGGAAGGUUUAUAAACUGCCAUAAAGUUUACUAGAUGAGAGUGUUUUCACAUUACACAAAACCAGUGUCUGUGAAUCCUUCCUGAACCUCCUAUUAACAACUUCCAGCAAUAUCAGCAGUCUGCAAUUUUAGUCUUUAAUGACACCUAUCCUAUUACAAGCAGGAAAAAAAAAGUCUCAAUUUAUAUAAAGAAGUCAUAAUCAGGUGAUAAUAUCUACUCCCUUUAAUUAGUGUUAUAAUUAUGUAGGUAAUUAUUUCUAAAUGUAUGAAAGUAUAAUGUAAAAUAGGAACAAGUAAAUGACAUAUCCAUGCACUUUUUUUUUUCUCUGUACAAAUAUUAGUGUUGGUGGGGAGGUCAUGAAACCCAUUAGGGUAUUAAGUACCUUUGAAAGCUGAAGAGUAAAUGACAAAUGGAAGAAAGGUUCAGAAAAUGGAAGCUGAAUGUACAGAAAUUAGGGCUAAUUUUAGAUCCCAUGAAAUUAUUUUCUGACAUAAAUGCCUAAGAAAAACAUGUAACACAUGAGAAAAUAGUUUUCUACUCAAAUCAGUAUAUGGUAACAAAGAAUAAACUUCCAGAGGGAAAAUCUUUUUGAAGCUCAAGAUAUACAGGUGUAAGAAACAGAAAUUAAAAAACAGACAUUUAUAGAGUUCCUGUUGUGGCUUAGUGGAUUAAGAAACUGACAUAGUGUCCAUGAGGAUGUGGGUUCCAUCCCUGGCCUUGCUUUGAGGGUUAAAGAUUCUGUAUUGCCGCAAGCUGCAACGUAGGUAACAGAUGGGCUCAGAUCCACUGCAGCUGGGGUACAGGUCUGCAGCUGCAGCUCUGAUUUCACCGCUAGCCCAAGAAUUUCCUUAUGCUGUGGGUGUGGCCAUAAAAAGAAAAAAAAAAUUUUUGAGCAAAAUCUUCCAAAUACUAUCUAGGGAAAACAAUAAAAAUUUAGUAUACUAAACAAAUGUUUACAAGAACAGACCAAAGGUUCAAAAUUAUGUCCCAGCAGCAUACCCAAGGAGUAUUCUUCCUUUGCCACAUUUGUAUUACAUAUAAAUAUUCUCUUUUCUUGGGAAAAGUCUUGUCUUGAGAAAUACCCCUAAAGAAUCAAUAUUUCUUUUAGAAAUAUAAAUGAUGAUCAAAGGAGUUCCCGUUGUGGCUCAGUGGUCAACGAAUCUGACUAGGAACCAUGAGGUUGCAGGUUCAAUCCCUAACCUUGCUCAGUGGGUUGAAGAACUGGAGUUGCUGUGAGCUGUGGUGUAGGUCACAGCCGCGGCUUGGAUCCCAUGUGGCUGUGGCUGUGGCCAGUGGCUACAGCUCCGAUU